rnacentral:rRNA from 1 species
UGUUUCGGCAAGGGGGUCAUCCCGACUUACCAACCCGAUGCAAACUGCGAAUACCGGAGAAUGUUAUCACGGGAGACACACGGCGGGUGCUAACGUCCGUCGUGAAGAGGGAAACAACCCAGACCGCCAGCUAAGGUCCCAAAGUCAUGGUUAAGUGGGAAACGAUGUGGGAAGGCCCAGACAGCCAGGAUGUUGGCUUAGAAGCAGCCAUCAUUUAAAGAAAGCGUAAUAGCUCACUGGUCGAGUCGGCCUGCGCGGAAGAUGUAACGGGGCUAAACCAUGCACCGAAGCUGCGGCAGCGACGCUUAUGCGUUGUUGGGUAGGGGAGCGUUCUGUAAGCCUGUGAAGGUGUGCUGUGAGGCAUGCUGGAGGUAUCAGAAGUGCGAAUGCUGACAUAAGUAACGAUAAAGCGGGUGAAAAGCCCGCUCGCCGGAAGACCAAGGGUUCCUGUCCAACGUUAAUCGGGGCAGGGUGAGUCGACCCCUAAGGCGAGGCCGAAAGGCGUAGUCGAUGGGAAACAGGUUAAUAUUCCUGUACUUGGUGUUACUGCGAAGGGGGGACGGAGAAGGCUAUGUUGGCCGGGCGACGGUUGUCCCGGUUUAAGCGUGUAGGCUGGUUUUCCAGGCAAAUCCGGAAAAUCAAGGCUGAGGCGUGAUGACGAGGCACUACGGUGCUGAAGCAACAAAUGCCCUGCUUCCAGGAAAAGCCUCUAAGCAUCAGGUAACAUCAAAUCGUACCCCAAACCGACACAGGUGGUCAGGUAGAGAAUACCAAGGCGCUUGAGAGAACUCGGGUGAAGGAACUAGGCAAAAUGGUGCCGUAACUUCGGGAGAAGGCACGCUGAUAUGUAGGUGAAGCGACUUGCUCGUGGAGCUGAAAUCAGUCGAAGAUACCAGCUGGCUGCAACUGUUUAUUAAAAACACAGCACUGUGCAAACACGAAAGUGGACGUAUACGGUGUGACGCCUGCCCGGUGCCGGAAGGUUAAUUGAUGGGGUCAGCGCAAGCGAAGCUCUUGAUCGAAGCCCCGGUAAACGGCGGCCGUAACUAUAACGGUCCUAAGGUAGCGAAAUUCCUUGUCGGGUAAGUUCCGACCUGCACGAAUGGCGUAAUGAUGGCCAGGCUGUCUCCACCCGAGACUCAGUGAAAUUGAACUCGCUGUGAAGAUGCAGUGUACCCGCGGCAAGACGGAAAGACCCCGUGAACCUUUACUAUAGCUUGACACUGAACAUUGAGCCUUGAUGUGUAGGAUAGGUGGGAGGCUUAGAAGUGUGGACGCCAGUCUGCAUGGAGCCGACCUUGAAAUACCACCCUUUAAUGUUUGAUGUUCUAACGUUGACCCGUAAUCCGGGUUGCGGACAGUGUCUGGUGGGUAGUUUGACUGGGGCGGUCUCCUCCUAAAGAGUAACGGAGGAGCACGAAGGUUGGCUAAUCCUGGUCGGACAUCAGGAGGUUAGUGCAAUGGCAUAAGCCAGCUUGACUGCGAGCGUGACGGCGCGAGCAGGUGCGAAAGCAGGUCAUAGUGAUCCGGUGGUUCUGGAUGGAAGGGCCAUCGCUCAACGGAUAAAAGGUACUCCGGGGAUAACAGGCUGAUACCGCCCAAGAGUUCAUAUCGACGGCGGUGUUUGGCACCUCGAUGUCGGCUCAUCACAUCCUGGGGCUGAAGUAGGUCCCAAGGGUAUGGCUGUUCGCCAUUUAAAGUGGUACGCGAGCUGGGUUUAGAACGUCGUGAGACAGUUCGGUCCCUAUCUGCCGUGGGCGCUGGAGAACUGAGGGGGGCUGCUCCUAGUACGAG